rnacentral:rRNA from 1 species
UGGGGAAUUUUGGACAAUGGGCGAAAGCCUGAUCCAGCAAUGCCGCGUGUGUGAAGAAGGCCUUCGGGUUGUAAAGCACUUUUGUCCGGAAAGAAAUCCUUGGCUCUAAUACAGUGCGGGGGAUGACGGUACCGGAAGAAUAAGCACCGGCUAACUACGUGCCAGCAGCCGCGGUAAUACGUAGGGUGCAAGCGUUAAUCGGAAUUACUGGGCGUAAAGCGUGCGCAGGCGGUUUGCUAAGACCGAUGUGAAAUCCCCGGGCUCAACCUGGGAACUGCAUUGGUGACUGGCAGGCUAGAGUAUGGCAGAGGGGGGUAGAAUUCCACGUGUAGCAGUGAAAUGCGUAGAGAUGUGGAGGAAUACGAUGGCGAAGGCAGCCCCCUGGGCCAAAUACUGACGCUCAUGCACGAAAGCGUGGGGAGCAAACAGGAUUAGAUACCCUGGGUAGUCCACGCCCUAAAACGAUGUCAACUAGUUGUUGGGGAUUCAUUUCCUUAGUAACGUAGCUAACGCGUGAAGUUGACCGCCUGGGGGAGUACGGUCGCAAGAUU